rnacentral:misc_RNA from 1 species
GGCAUACUCUCCCAAGCCAUAACCAUUAGUAAAUUGAUUUUGGUACAUGAUGAGAAAUAGUAUAUUUCACGUACUAAAGUCGUUGACUACAUUUCAGAAAGGAUGCAACUAGUUUAUUACCAAGUCAUAUUGGCAAUCAGAAGGUCCUUAGGACUACUGUAAUUUAAGAGAUUGUCGAGCAUCAACUUCCAAUUUCAGUAAACUGUUUCCUUUUAACAAUUUUUGUUUUUACCUGCCAAUGGUGUGCAAUGAGUUGUUUCCAUUCUCAAAUAACAGCAAGAUCAUAUUUAGAAUUAUCCUGAUAUGUUCGCCAAACCGAUGAUGAGGCAGAAACAUUCAAAAGGGUGCAGUCUGCAGAAUACUUGCGAAUUGAAAACAUCCAGAAUUUUCAAUUCCGACUCAAGAAAAGGGUUCCAAAGCAUAAAUAUAUGCAUCUUUCUUAUACCCCCAAAAUGAAUGGCCUUCUGAAAAACCAGUAAGCUCAACAACUUGUGAGUGUACUGAUUCUUCUUAUUUCCUCUCCACCAGUUUCACACUGCCUUCCUAAAAAUCAGAAGCAUUAUUCUCUUAAACAGACAAGCAUAAAAAACAAAAGGUUCAUUAUGCUUAGUUAAUUAAAUCAGACAGCACCAAGCAGAUGAAUUAACAAAUAUUCAAUACCAAACAAACUGUAAAUAUAAUCUAGAAGAUUUCCCUAUGCACCAAGGAUAUGUAAUUGGCAAACUCCAAAACUUCAAUGUAUUCACUGCCAAUAACUUGGAACUUAACACUUCAUUAAAAAAAAAUAAUAAAAAAAAAUUGAAACUUAACUCCAAGCCUAAAUCCAUGUAAACAUAAGGCAAUUUCCAUUCCAUUCCACCCAUUUAACCUAUAAAGUAACUUCCAUACUGGCAGUGCCUAAAUGUUUAACCAUCAGUUCCCAUUUAGCAGUAUAUAGCACCAAGAGAGAAACCAGUAUCAUCAUAAUUGUCCAUAAUUGAAAUCAAUGCCAGUUCAUCAAUUUCACAUUAAUCACAGCUACAAUUUUCAUAGAGACAAAGAUAGCAGAAGCAGCACAAAUACAGAAACUCAACCAAGCACCAAUCCAGAAAAUAUCAUCAUCAAUAUGAUAUACAAGGAAAGCAAGAAAGCUAAGCAAAAGGCAUUGCUGCACUUAGCUUUAGAAGCUUUCAUGUGGCAGGACAUUCGCAUAAUUGACGUGCUUAGGAGUCACACGGUUGCUUCGCUUAAAGAAACAUGUUAUGAGCGGAUUAAGAUUCAGUCAAUUCACUCAAAGCUUUUCAGGCUCAUAAAAUGCGAUGUUCAACUAAAACAUAAGGAUUCCUUCAUUAAGCAACAGUUCUCUCUCCUUAGAUCCAAACCCCAACUAAUAUCUAUUUCCUACACAUUUACUAUGAAGAAGAAAUGCAGGAGAGUAAAUUAUGGCUGCCACGGGAUCAACAUAGGUUCAAAAAAUCAUAAUAAUAAUAAAAAAAACACUGUUUGAUGUUGAUAAACAAGAACAAAAUCAACAUGAGCAAGAAUUUCUUUACUGGAAUUGCCAAUCCUUCUAAUCUCUGGAACUACAGAGAAACCCAAUUCAUUGAGCAGCAGCAACAACAAGAAGAAUCUUUCCAAUUUCAUACCCAUACCAAAAUUACAUAAAAUUCUGUUCCAGAACUAGCAAAAUAUAGUUAAAUGAGAAAGAAAUCGAGAGGAGCUUAAUGUAAAUAGUAGGAAAUCAAUCACAAACGAAGACCUGUUGAGGCAGCCUCCAAGCCUCAGCCUUGCUAAAGCACAUGUCAUCAAGUGCGUCACUCUUACACCACCGGCAAUUGGGGUUUUGAGAACAGAGAGGUCCCGACACCAUCUCACUGCAAUUAGGGAUCUGCUGUCGGGGGUCUCUACGUGCAGCAAACAGGGCGCGAUGCGAAGGAAUCGGUAAUGGGUAUUUGCUAGUUGUGACGUAAGAACACGAUGAUUGCAAUAGAGUUGCAAGGAAGAUAAGGAGGAUGGGGAAAAAGAUGAUGGUAGAGUGGAUUGCUACCAUUGUUGAGACAUAAAAAAUUGGUAACUUCGAUUUGGAUUGGACUAAAUUAGACUUUCCAAUUCAAGCUAAAUCUGGGGUAGGAGACACUUUGCAGUCUCUUUCGGUCAGAGAUUGAAUUGGUUCCCUUCUCCUUUCAAUCAAAGAGGCAGUAGAUGAUAAGCUGCUGCGGUUGCUCUAGAACUGGCGGAUGCACAAAU